rnacentral:rRNA from 1 species
GAUGAACGCUGGCGGCGUGCCUAAUACAUGCAAGUCGAGCGAACAGACGAGGAGCUUGCUCCUCUGACGUUAGCGGCGGACGGGUGAGUAACACGUGGAUAACCUACCUAUAAGACUGGGAUAACUUCGGGAAACCGGAGCUAAUACCGGAUAAUAUAUUGAACCGCAUGGUUCAAUAGUGAAAGACGGUUUUGCUGUCACUUAUAGAUGGUUCCGCGCCGCAUUAGCUAGUUGGUAAGGUAACGGCUUACCAAGGCGACGAUGCGUAGCCGACCUGAGAGGGUGAUCGGCCACACUGGAACUGAGACACGGUCCAGACUCCUACGGGAGGCAGCAGUGGGGAAUCUUCCGCAAUGGGCGAAAGCCUGACGCAGCAACGCCGCGUGAGUGAUGAAGGUCUUCGGAUCGUAAAACUCUGUUAUUAGGGAAGAACAAAUGUGUAAGUAUCUAUGCACGUCUUGACGGUACCUAAUCAGAAAGCCACGGCUAACUACGUG